ACUCGAGUGGCGAACGGGUGAGUAACACGUGGGUGAUCUGCCCUGCACUUCGGGAUAAGCCUGGGAAACUGGGUCUAAUACCGGAUAGGAGCCAUUUUUAGUGUGAUGGUUGGAAAGUUUUUCGGUGUAGGAUGAGCUCGCGGCCUAUCAGCUUGUUGGUGGGGUAAUGGCCUACCAAGGCGGCGACGGGUAGCUGGCCUGAGAGGGUGGACGGCCACAUUGGGACUGAGAUACGGCCCAG
rnacentral:rRNA from 1 species